rnacentral:rRNA from 1 species
CUGGAGGUAUCAGAAGUGCGAAUGCUGACAUAAGUAACGAUAAAGCGGGUGAAAAGCCCGCUCGCCGGAAGACCAAGGGUUCCUGUCCAACGUUAAUCGGGGCAGGGUGAGUCGACCCCUAAGGCGAGGCCGAAAGGCGUAGUCGAUGGGAAACGGGUUAAUAUUCCCGUACUUGGUGUUACUGCGAAGGGGGGACGGAGAAGGCUAUGUUGGCCGGGCGACGGUUGUCCCGGUUUAAGCGUGUAGGUGUGUGUUCCAGGUAAAUCCGGUUCACUUUAACACUGAGGCGUGACGACGAGGCACUACGGUGCUGAAGCAACAAAUGCCCUGCUUCCAGGAAAAGCCUCUAAGCAUCAGGUAACAUCAAAUCGUACCCCAAACCGACACAGGUGGUCAGGUAGAGAAUACCAAGGCGCUUGAGAGAACUCGGGUGAAGGAACUAGGCAAAAUGGUGCCGUAACUUCGGGAGAAGGCACGCUGACACGUAGGUGAAGUGAUUUACUCAUGGAGCUGAAGUCAGUCGAA